rnacentral:misc_RNA from 1 species
GAUGAAGAACGCAGCGAAAUGCGAUACGUAAUGUGAAUUGCAGAAUUCAGUGAAUCAUCGAAUCUUUGAACGCACAUUGCGCCCCUUGGUAUUCCGAGGGGCAUGCCUGUUCGAGCGUCAUAUAACCCCUCAAGCUCAGCUUGGUGUUGGGGCCUGCUGCACUGGCAGCCCUUAAAAUCAGUGGCGGCGCCAUCUGGCUCUAAGCGUAGUAAUUCUUCUCGCUAUGGAGUCCUGGUGGAUGCUUGCCAUCAACCCCCAAUUUUUCUAUGGUUGACCUCGGAUCAGGUAGGGAUACCCGCUGAACUUAAGCAUAUCAAUAAGCGGAGGA